rnacentral:rRNA from 1 species
CACGCCGUAAACGAUGAAUGCUAGGUGUCGGGGGUCACACCUCGGUGCCGCAGUUAACACAUUAAGCAUUCCGCCUGGGGAGUACGCGCGCAAGCGUGAAACUCAAAGGAAUUGACGGGGACCCGCACAAGCAGCGGAGCAUGUGGUUUAAUUCGAAGCAACGCGAAGAACCUUACCAGGUCUUGACAUCCUUUGCACGUUUUAGAGAUAGAACAUUCCCUUCGGGGACAAAGAGACAGGUGG